AACGAACGCUGGCGGCAUGCCUAACACAUGCAAGUCGAACGAGACCUUCGGGUCUAGUGGCGCACGGGUGCGUAACGCGUGGGAAUCUGCCCUUGGGUGCGGAAUAACUUCUCGAAAGGGAUGCUAAUACCGCAUAAUGUCGUAAGACCAAAGAUUUAUCGCCCAAGGAUGAGCCCGCGUAAGAUUAGCUAGUUGGUGGGGUAAAAGCCUACCAAGGCGACGAUCUUUAGCUGGUCUGAGAGGAUGAUCAGCCACACUGGGACUGAGACACGGCCCAGACUCCUACGGGAGGCAGCAGUGGGGAAUAUUGGGCAAUGGGCGAAAGCCUGAUCCAGCAAUGCCGCGUGAGUGAUGAAGGCCCUAGGGUUGUAAAGCUCUUUUACCCGGGAUGAUAAUGACAGUACCGGGAGAAUAAGCUCCGGCUAACUUCGUGCCAGCCGCCGCAGUAAGAC
rnacentral:rRNA from 1 species